ACACACGGAGCUGCCUCAGGUCGAUGCUAACCGAAGUAACGCACGCACACGCCCAGAUCGCUGCCUUCCCGCUGCAGAGCCGCGCAGGGGCCGAGCGGAGCCCUCCGGCCGAUGCGCCACCGUCGCAGCGCGAGGCCCGGGCAGCAGCCGCCAGGAAAUUUGGACAGCGGUAAAUGGGAAUAAAUGCUUAAAUUUGC